rnacentral:lncRNA from 1 species
UGUAAUAUUAUUCAUAUAUGUAUAUGCACAAUAUGUCUAUAUAUAAUAGUAUCUCAAAUGUAAUAUUAAAGAUAGAUCUAACUGUAUAUAUAUUAGCGUAUUAGAACUAGUACACGUAAAGGAAACAAAUAUGAAAUAUGAAUAUAGAAUGAAGAAACAGAAAGGAAAAUGAGAAAAGAAACAAAAAAAUGAAUUAGUACCGGUUGAGGAGACCAAC